rnacentral:rRNA from 1 species
UGUUACUGUUUUGUUGGCUUUCGGUGAUCAAGGUAAUGAUCAAUGUGGACUGGCGGGGGCAUUCGUAUUGCGACGUUAGAGGUGAAAUUCUUGGAUCGUCGCAAGACGAACUAGAGCGAAAGCAUUUGCCAAGUAUGUCUUAGUUGAUCAAGAACGAAAGUUAGAGGUUCGAAGGCGAUCAGAUACCGCCCUAGUUCUAACCAUAAACGAUGUCGGCCAGCAAUCCGCCAAUGUUCCUCCGAUGACUCGGCGGGCAACCCCAGGGAAACCAAAGCUUUUGGGUUCCGGGGGAAGUAUGGUUGCAAAGCUGAAACUUAAAGGAAUUGACGGAAGGGCACCACCAGGAGUGGAGCCUGCGGCUUAAUUUGACUCAACACGGGAAACCUCACCAGGCCCAGACAUUGGAAGGAUUGACAGAUUGAUAGCUCUUUCUUGAUUCAAUGGGUAGUGGUGCAUGGCCGUUCUUAGUUGGUGGAACGAUUUGUCUGGUUAAUUCCGAUAACGAACGAGACUCUAGCCUAUUAACUAGGCGUCCGGUAUCGUGGUGCUACCGGCGAAAUAUGUUCUUCUUAAAGGGAACCGAGGCGCUCAGCCUCACGAGAUUGAGCAAUAACAGGUCUGUGAUGCCCUCAGAUGGUCUGGGCCGCACGCGCGCUACACUGAUGGAAUCAGCGUGUCCCUCCCUGGCCGAAAGGCCCGGGUAACCCGCUGAAACUCCUUCGUGCUUGGAAUUGGGGCUUGCAAUUGUUCCCCAUGAACGAGGAAUUCCCAGUAAGCGCGAGUCAUAAGCUCGCGUUGAUUACGUCCCUGCCCUUUGUACACACCGCCCGUCGCUACUACCGAUUGAAUGAUUUAGUGAGGUCUUCGGACUGGUGACAAUUGGCUCCGCUUCGGCGUAGCCGGUGUUGCCGGGAAGAUGACCAAACUUGAUCAUUUAGAGGAAGUAAAAGUCGUAACAAGGUUUCCGUAGGUGAACCUGCGGAAGGAUCAUUACCGUACGACCAUGAAUAGUGGUCAGAGGUACCUGGUCCUUGAGUUGCAAGAGUUGGCUUGCGCCGCUCGCGGUCACGUCUCUGGCUUCAGUACACAGUACUGCCUGUCGGAGCGUGGCGCGUCUCGGCAGCGGCC